AUGAACGCUAGCUACAGGCUUAACACAUGCAAGUCGAGGGGCAGCAUGACCUAGCAAUAGGUUGAUGGCGACCGGCGCACGGGUGAGUAACACGUAUCCAACCUACCGGUUAUUCCGGGAUAGCCUUUCGAAAGAAAGAUUAAUACCGGAUAGCAUAGCGAGAAGGCAUCUUCUUGUUAUUAAAGAAUUUCGAUAACCGAUGGGGAUGCGUUCCAUUAGUUUGUUGGCGGGGUAACGGCCCACCAAGACAUCGAUGGAUAGGGGUUCUGAGAGGAAGGUCCCCCACAUUGGAACUGAGACACGGUCCAAACUCCUACGGGAGGCAGCAGUGAGGAAUAUUGGUCAAUGGACGAGAGUCUGAACCAGCCAAGUAGCGUGAAGGAUGACUGCCCUAUGGGUUGUAAACUUCUUUUAUAUGGGAAUAAAGUGAGCCACGUGUGGCUUUUUGUAUGUACCAUACGAAUAAGGAUCGGCUAACUCCGUGCCAGCAGCCGCGGUAAUACGGAGGAUCCGAGCGUUAUCCGGAUUUAUUGGGUUUAAAGGGAGCGUAGGCGGACUAUUAAGUCAGCUGUGAAAGUUUGCGGCUCAACCGUAAAAUUGCAGUUGAUACUGGUCGUCUUGAGUGCAGUAGAGGUAGGCGGAAUUCGUGGUGUAGCGGUGAAAUGCUUAGAUAUCACGAAGAACUCCGAUUGCGAAGGCAGCUUACUGGACUGUAACUGACGCUGAUGCUCGAAAGUGUGGGUAUCAAACAGGAUUAGAUACCCUGGUAGUCCACACAGUAAACGAUGAAUACUCGCUGUUUGCGAUAUACAGCAAGCGGCCAAGCGAAAGCAUUAAGUAUUCCACCUGGGGAGUACGCCGGCAACGGUGAAACUCAAAGGAAUUGACGGGGGCCCGCACAAGCAGUGGAGUAUGUGGUUUAAUUCGAAGCAACGCGAAGAACCUUACCAGGUCUUGACAUCGUAUGCAUAGCUCAGAGAUGAGUGAAAUCUCUUCGGAGACAUAUAGACAGGUGGUGCAUGGUUGUCGUCAGCUCGUGUCGUGAGAUGUUGGGUUAAGUCCCGCAACGAGCGCAACCCCUAUCUUUAGUAGCCAGCAUUUCAGGUGGGCACUCUAGAGAGACUGCCAGGGAUAACCUGGAGGAAGGUGGGGACGACGUCAAAUCAUCAUGCCCCUUAUGACCAGGGCUACACACGUGCUACAAUGGCGUAAACAAAGGGAAGCGAACCCGCGAGGGUGGGCAAAUCCCAAAAAUAACGUCUCAGUUCGGAUUGCAGGCUGCAACUCGCCUGCAUGAAGCUGGAAUCGCUAGUAAUCGCGGAUCAGAAUGCCGCGGUGAAUACGUUCCCGGGCCUUGUACACACCGCCCGUCACACCAUGAGAGUUGGGGAUACCCGAAGCCUGUGAGCCAACAGUUAAAUGAGGCAGCAGUCGAAGGUAGAAUCAAUGAUUGGGGUG
rnacentral:rRNA from 1 species